UGACCCUGCUUGGUCUCCAAGGUAAGAUAAAAUCUGGUGUUCUAGUAUAAGGGGUAAAGCAUUAUGAUUACCUCCCCCGUACAUACAUACACACACACACACACACACAAAGCAUGGUGGACUGUUAGUAUCUGAAUCUGAGUCAGCUGGUGAAUCAAUUAUACACAGGGGCAGCAAAUAUACUCUCAGCUUUAGCUAUCCCUCCUGCAGCUGUUUCAUGUUGUAUGGAAAUUUCCUAUUGCCAAACUUUUAUUUAAAAGAUGUUCCACCACAUGGAGAGCUCUUGUACAACUCUUGUGGGAAUAACAGCUACAAAGUGUCUCCAGUGGUGAAAGUGUAAAGCAAACACAUACACAGAGAGAGAGACUUACUCCAGCACCCACCAUCAUACUUAUCAGAGGAGCUUUGCCUUAAGAUGCAUGCAAGAAGCUCCAGGACAAGAACAAAGAAGGAGAGGAUAGAAGGCAAUCCAUAGUCAUAUGACUUGGUUAAUCAAGUGGAUCUAAGCUCCUCAUGCCAAAGAACACACUGGAAUGAUACUUUUCUUCAAUCAACCAAAAGGUAUGACAUUAAUCACACUAAAAUUUGAAGCUAGCUUCUUCACCAGGGAAAGUUGGUUGAAGAUCAUAUAGGAAAAUAAAAAGUCAAUGUUACAAUCAUAGAUCGGCAUCUUGCCUGCUUGCUUGAAGUGUAAUAGAAUACAUUCCUUUUAGCUUUUCCUCCCUUGCAUGAUUUUAAAAUGAUUGUUGCCUGAUUUAAUCUAUGGAAUUCAAAAGCGGCUGUGGUUAAAGCUGUGUUGUUUGGCUGGCCUUUUAGUUGGCUAAGGUGCACAUUGUAUCACGACAAUAUGACCAUAAAACAAAAUCCAUAUCCCAACAUGAACAGUAUGGUGAUGUAUGUCCUUGAAUUCUGCGUUUAGUUUUAUGGUCAACACAACUAGCUCACAUUUUUUCUUCUUGAGAAGUUAUAUGUCAUAUCAUUAGAAAAGAAUAGAGUUUUACCAUCUUAAAUGCUUCCUUAAAAUAAGCUAGCUGUUCCUUAAAAUAUACUUGUUGCUAGCUACACACAGACUGAUCUAGGCAUCAAUAU